GAUGAACGCUGGCGGCGUGCCUAAUACAUGCAAGUCGAGCGAAUGGAUUAAGAGCUUGCUCUUAUGAAGUUAGCGGCGGACGGGUGAGUAACACGUGGGUAACCUGCCCAUAAGACUGGGAUAACUCCGGGAAACCGGGGCUAAUACCGGAUAACAUUUUGAACCGCAUGGUUCGAAAUUGAAAGGCGGCUUCGGCUGCCACUUAUGGAUGGACCCGCGUCGCAUUAGCUAGUUGGUGAGGUAACGGCUCACCAAGGCAACGAUGCGUAGCCGACCUGAGAGGGUGAUCGGCCACACUGGGACUGAGACACGGCCCAGACUCCUACGGGAGGCAGCAGUAGGGAAUCUUCCGCAAUGGACGAAAGUCUGACGGAGCAAGGCCGCGUGAGUGAUGAAGGCUUUCGGGUCGUAAAACUCUGUUGUUAGGGAAGAACAAGUGCUAGUUGAAUAAGCUGGCACCUUGACGGUACCUAACCAGAAAGCCACGGCUAACUACGUGCCAGCCGCCGCCGCGG
rnacentral:rRNA from 1 species